CUCGAUUCUAUGCUUCACAAACAAGUUAUCAUUAUAAUUACGAUUUCUCGCGCUGCAUGACUGCCUUCUUUAAUUCCGAGUUCCGUAUAUCCUAUCCAGCAAGGUGUCCAAAUAAACCAUUCUCUACAUUCCGAUGACCGAGCAGAACUCACAAAUCAUACACCGCGACCCGAACCGAAGCCAGCACCGGAAAGCAGCACCAUAGCGGAGCAGAAAAAGCAACUGCCGAUAAUAAACGUGAUGACUAUAUAGAACUCUGCCGUGCCUGAUCAUCAUCGUCCAUAAACAG